GUGGGGUAAUUUUCCGCAAUGGGCGAAAGCCUGACGGAGCAAUGCCGCGUGGAGGUGGAAGGCCUACGGGUCGUCAACUUCUUUUCUCGGAGAAGAAACAAUGACGGUAUCUGAGGAAUAAGCAUCGGCUAACUCUGUGCCAC
rnacentral:rRNA from 1 species